AUGAGACUCUUAAUCUCAGGGUCGUGGGUUCGAGCCCCACGUUGGGCG
rnacentral:tRNA from 1 species